CCGCCUUUGGUGUGCAUU
rnacentral:siRNA from 1 species